AUUGAACGCUGGCGGCAGGCCUAACACAUGCAAGUCGAACGAGUGGCGGACGGGUGAGUAAUGUCUGGGAAACUGCCUGAUGGAGGGGGAUAACUACUGGAAACGGUAGCUAAUACCGCAUACCAUCGGAUGUGCCCAGAUGGGAUUAGCUAGUAGGUGGGGUAAAGGCUCACCUAGGCGACGAUCCCUAGCUGGUCUGAGAGGAUGACCAGGCAAACCUGAACUGAGGCACGGGUCCGAACCCUACGGGGGGGAGCAGUGGGGAAUAUUUGAAAAUGGGGGCAAGGCGUAAGGAGGCAAGGCGGGGGGAUGAAGGAGGCCGUUGGGGUUGAAAGGUACUUUAGGGGGGAGGCGUUACCCGCAGAAGAAGCACCGGCUAACUCCGUGCCAGCAGCCGCGGUAAUAC
rnacentral:rRNA from 1 species